rnacentral:rRNA from 1 species
AGAACGAACGCUGGCGGCAGGCUUAACACAUGCAAGUCGAGCGCCUCGCAAGAGGAGCGGCAGACGGGUGAGUAACGCGUGGGAAUCUACCCAUCCUUACGGAACAACUCCGGGAAACUGGAGCUAAAUACCGUAUACGCCCUUAGGGGGAAAGAUUUAUCGAGGAUGGAUGAGCCCGCGUUGGAUUAGCUAGUUGGUGGGGUAAAGGCCUACCAAGGCGACGAUCCAUAGCUGGUCUGAGAGGAUGAUCAGCCACAUUGGGACUGAGACACGGCCCAAACUCCUACGGGAGGCAGCAGUGGGGAAUAUUGGACAAUGGGCGCAAGCCUGAUCCAGCCAUGCCGCGUGAGUGAUGAAGGCCCUAGGGUUGUAAAGCUCUUUCACCGGAGAAGAUAAUGACGGUAUCCGGAGAAGAAGCCCCGGCUAACUUCGCGCCAGCAGCCGC